CCAACGAAGGCAACCGCUCUUCUGUAAAUCGGCAGAUUUAGUUCUUAGUUGUUAGUUCAGUUAUGAACGGUCUAAUACUUAGGAGAAACAACCGAGAAAAAUAUUUCGUCGUCGAGGAUGCAUAUCGACGAGGUUUAGCCGUGGGUAACGACCGCUAUCGGUAAUAUAAUAAUAUGCCAGCGCCAUUCGGAUCCUCCCAGAAGGCAUCCAGCCUUGUUUUUCCCAGCUGAUUCACAGAUGUUAGACAAUGACAACACAAUAUUUAAUAGACAAGUAACGGCCGACGACGAGGAUAACUGAUCGAAAAGAUAUUUAUCUUAUCUAAGAUGAAAAUUAUGGGACGUUUACCAAAGUUAUUCAUAACUCAUUAGAGUGCGAAUGCGAUUACGGUUAUAAAUAUUUCUAACUUCUACUAAUAUUGAUAAACUUCGGAGUUGAGAGAAAGAGAAGGGUGGAGGAGAUUUAUUAUAAUCCACUUCUAAUAAAUACACAAGGUAAGUCAAAUAAUUUUGCCAAUAAAAAAGUUAUUUAUAAUAAAAAUUCUAUUAUUAAAAAAAAAAGAAAAAAAAAAAAAUUCAUUCGUAAUAAAUGACAAUAAGAGACAAGUAAGAAAAGAUUUUGUUAUUCGGAAACCUAACGGAAUCCUAACAGCUUUCAAUUGAUCAUACAUAUCCUCAAUUUCGUUUUAACGUUUCGUAUUAAUAAUGAAAUAACGGGCGACGACGAGGUACGAUUAAUCGAAGAGAUAUAUGUCUCGAAAGAUAAAGAUUAUGGGACGUUUAUCGCAAAGACGAUAUUGGAACGUGACGACGAGGCUGGCCUCGAAAGUUGUAGAAGAGAAACGUCGACCCCUUCGGGCCAUUGUUUCUAUCCUUCUCGCACCUCUCAAACACGAUCUCGUUUUAUCAUAUAUAGCACCGCGACUAGCGCACUGACUCGCGAAUCCACUAAUUACAGGACAAAAACUAUACAUAUGGAUACGAUGAUAAUAGACAUUUAUGUGACACGCUUUGACCGGACAAAUGUCAAGAGAAUCGUGACUAUGCUGACCUCGAAACACCGAGAUGACGAGAAAGAAAGAGAGAGACCUAGUUCCAGAUAGAGUUAUAGACACACAAUCGUAUAUUAUAGAGAAAAGAUGAAAAUAAAUAUAUGCGAAGAAUAUCUAAUGACGUUCUAAACCGAUUUAAAGGAAGAAAUCUCUAAGGGAAAAGAGGCGUAUCGCAAUGCUACCUACACUCGUGUACUUACUCGCAUGACUCACGACUCUUGUUUAGAAGUCAAAGGGAGUAAAGCGCCGUACUCGUUUCCGUCACACUGAUUUAUUACGUCAUAUAUGGUACGUGCAAUUUGAUAUAAAAGUAUUUCGAAAUCUACCGAGAGAAAUACUCCUACUCAAAGUCCCUAGUGAUAUAAAUCCAAAGAUCUUUGUAUCUAAACGGAGCGUAGGAUCUUUCAAGUUUCAUUAAAAAUAAAAUAUAAUAAUUA